rnacentral:rRNA from 1 species
UACGUAGGGGGCAAGCGUUAUCCGGAUUUACUGGGUGUAAAGGGAGCGUAGACGGCAGCGCUAGUCUGGAGUGAAAUGCCGGGGCCCAACCCCGGAACUGCUUUGGAAACUGUGCAGCUCGAGUGCAGGAGAGGUAAGCGGAAUUCCUAGUGUAGCGGUGAAAUGCGUAGAUAUUAGGAGGAACACCAGUGGCGAAGGCGGCUUACUGGACUGUAACUGACGUUGAGGCUCGAAAGCGUGGGGAGCAAACAGG